UACGUAGGGGGCUAGCGUUGUCCGGAAUCAUUGGGCGUAAAGAGCGUGUAGGCGGUCCGGUAAGUCCGCUGUGAAAGUCGGGGGCUCAACCCUCGAAUGCCGGUGGAAACUGUCGGGCUAGAGUACGGAAGAGGCGAGUGGAAUUCCUGGUGUAGCGGUGAAAUGCGCAGAUAUCAGGAGGAACACCAAUUGCGAAGGCAGCUCGCUGGGACGUCACUGACGCUGAGACGCGAAAGCGUGGGGAGCAAACAGG
rnacentral:rRNA from 1 species